rnacentral:rRNA from 1 species
CCCUUAGAUGUUCUGGGCCGCACGCGCGCUACACUGACGAAUGCAACGAGCUUAUAACCUUGGCCGAAAGGUCUGGGUAAUCUCCAAAUUUCGUCGUGAUGGGGAUAGAUUAUUGCAAUUAUUAAUCUUUAACGAGGAAUGCCUAGUAAGCGCAAGUCAUCAGCUUGCGUUGAUUACGUCCCUGCCCUUUGUACACACCGCCCGUCGCUCCUACCGAUUGAAUGGUCCGGUGAAGCGCUCGGACCGCGGCCUCUUGACGGUUUUCCGUCGAUUGGCUGUGGGAAGUUCGUUAAACCUUAUCAUUUAGAGGAAGGAGAANUCGUANCA